UGUAUGCAGCCACUCCGGGCAGGACGACGCCGGUUUGGUGGCGUGGAGUCCAAUCGGUGCGGCGAGAC
rnacentral:snoRNA from 14 species